GAUGAACGCUAGCGGCAGGCUUAAUACAUGCAAGUCGAACGGUAAGUUUGGUAGCAAUAUCAAACCAAGAGUGACGUACGGGUGCGUAACACGUAUGCAACCUACCUUGUACAGGAGUAUAGCUCGGGGAAACUCGAAUUAACCCUCCAUGAGAUCACAGUGUGGCAUCACACAGUGAUUAAAACUCAGGUGGUACAAGAUGGGCAUGCGUCUGAUAGUUAGUUGGCGGGGUAAUGGCCCACAAGACGAUGAUCAGUAGGGGACCUGAGA
rnacentral:rRNA from 1 species